rnacentral:misc_RNA from 1 species
AUAAGUUAAAGGAUAAAGCAAUCCUGCCUUUUGCGAGCGUGACUCCACUUUCUAACUCUGUGCACUCAAUGGCGGAAGAGAUAAACUAUGCUCUUCUGCCGCUCAUUUUAUAACCCUAGUUUAAAGAAUGUAACGACAUAUCUACUAUAUAAUACUUAAAACUUUCAACAACGCGAUCUCUUGGAUUCUGGCAUCGAUGAAAA